rnacentral:piRNA from 1 species
UCCCAGCUACAUUUUUAUUCUUGAUCAUU